CCUGCCUCACAUGGACUCUGUUGCUUUCAACACAUAGCAACCAAAUCAUUGAGGUGACAAUCCACAGUCAUUGCUGUUGCAACAAACUGGAAGGAGAGAAACGCAGUUAAGACUAUUGGAGUUUUAUAGCCAAAAAUGUCUUCAUAUAUUCUACCAAUUGUCACCUCAUCUAUGGGCUAGGAAUGGAGUGUGGUUGGUAGAGUGCUUACCUAGCAUAUGUAAAGCUUUGGGAUUCAUCCAGCAGUGCUAAUGUGGAGUAUGGGUAGUGCAUUCCUGUCAUCUCAGUGCUUUGAAGGUAAAAGGUAGGAGGAUCAGACAUUCAAAGUUAUCUUCAGGUAUAUAUUGAAUCCCAGGCCAGCUAGCCUGGGCUACAUGAGAACCUGUCUGAACACAUGCACACCAGCACCACCACCAAAGAGCCAUAAUCUCAUCAUAUGGCUCUAUCUGCCUUAAAGGAAGCUGGAACAUGUGUGCCCGGGAGGAAGAGGGAAGCAUGGCUGAGUUUUCAAACUUAUCCCAGAUGUGGCAAGGCAUGUCUGUAAUCUCAGCAUUGAAGAGAGGGAAGGCUGGAGGGUUAAUGAUCCACGGUCAGCCUCAGCUCUGUAGCACAUUUGAGAUCAGCCCGGAUUACAUGUGACCUUAUCC
rnacentral:lncRNA from 1 species